rnacentral:rRNA from 1 species
UACAGAGGGUGCAAGCGUUGCUCGGAAUCAUUGGGCGUAAAGGGUAGGUAGGUGGUCUCAUUUGUCUGGGGUGAAAGCCCAGGGCUUAACCCUGGAAGUGCCCCGGAAACGGCGAGACUGGAGUAUUGGAGAGGGUCGUGGAAUUCCCGGUGUAGCGGUGAAAUGCGUAGAGAUCGGGAGGAACACCGGUGGCGAAGGCGGGUCUCUGGGCAGUAACUGACGCUGAGGAGCGAAAGCGUGGGGAGCGAACAGG